rnacentral:rRNA from 1 species
GGUAAAGACGGGGGAGUGACCGGGGUGAUACAAAGUAGGUAAGCGUUGUUCGUAUUGAUUGGGGGUAAUGGGUGCGUAGGUGGUGGCGUAAGUGAGGUGUGAAAGUUCUGGUCUGAACUCCGAAACUGCAUUUGAGACUGCGGAGCUUGAGGACUGGAGAGGAGACUGGAAUGUACGGUGUAGCAGUGAAAUGAGUAGAUAUCGUAAGGAAGACCAGUGGCGAAGGCGGGUCUCUGGACAGUUCCUGACACUGAGGCACGAAGGCCAGGGGAGCAAACGGGAUUAGAUACCCGUGUAGUC